rnacentral:rRNA from 1 species
GGAAUGAUGGUGACCUAAACCCUCACCAGAGUAACAAUUGGAGGGCAAGUCUGGUGCCAGCAGCCGCGGUAAUUCCAGCUCCAAUAGCGUAUAUUAAACUUGUUGCAGUUAAAAAGCUCGUAGUUGAAUUUUUGCGUGGUGUUAAUAUUGACUGAUGUCGAGAUUGCACUUCGCUUUUGGGAUUUUUCCCUUUUUACUUUGAGAAAAUUAGAGUGUUUCAAGCAGACUUUUGUCUUGAAUACUUCAGCAUGGAAUAAUAGAGUAGGACUUUGGUUCUAUUUUGUUGGUUUGUGAACCUUAGUAAUGGUUAAUAGGAACGGUUGGGGGCAUUCGUAUUUAACUGUCAGAGGUGAAAUUCUUAGAUUUGUUAAAGACGAACUACUGCGAAAGCAUUUGCCAAGGACGUUUUCAUUAAUCAAGAACGAAAGUUAGGGGAUCGAAGACGAUCAGAUACCGUCGUAGUCCUA